UCUGAUUUUGAAUGACUGCGCUUAUUGUUAGCGGCAAUAAUUAAAUACCUGCAAAAUGAAGCAAAUGGAUAUUGAAAAUAAAGCAAACAGAGCAAUAUAGCUCUAAUUACAGGUUAAAUAACGCAAAUAAUUUGCACUUAUAAUACGCAUGAUGAAUGUAACAUAAUGUAAAAAAUGUACCUUAAAAUAUAUAUCUACGUGUACUGAACAGACGUGUACUUAUCACUGUUUGUUCAGAGUGUCAUUAAAGAUAACAAUAUUAUAUAUACUCACGAGUCUAAGCGAGUCCGAUCGAGCAGCUUGACAGUUCGCUGCAGUUACUAUAGAUUGCAUUUUGUUUAGUAAAAAUAGAACUUCAUAUUCUUCGCGAAACUUCGCUAAUUGCUCUGCUGUGAUUUAAAAUGAGUUCAAGAAAAUACGUCAUAACAAAUCUAUAAACAAACGAGAGUCAGGAUAAUGUUUGUAUGCAUUAAUUCCAGCGGAGCUACGGGAGAAGUUAGCAAGUGAUUUAGUUCCGUAACUUUGUUUAUUAAUGCCGUUACAACGCCACCUGAGCCAGGUACAAUUCCGAGCUCGACAUUAAAAGCCGGCUCGCACGAUAAUGCGCAGCCCUCAUAUCGCACGUCUAAAAAUUGCCAUCUAAAUCGCACCGCUUUUCAUGGGAAUUUACAAAAUUUCAUCAGUCCGAAUAUCAAUUGGCUCGGCCGAGAGUUAUAGGGGAAAAGAAGAAAAGAGCAAACAUUUCUCUUCGAAGCAUAAUCUCUCGUUGUAAAUAAUACGAACAACACGAUCACCGUUCCACUUCUUUGGUAGCGUACUAAAGGUGAAGCUAAGAGAAUAGAGAAGACAGGUCUUACGUAAUUCUGCUCGUCCGCGAAAAGAAAUUAAAUAACAGAUCUCUCUAUAACGACGCUAUAUAUAAACAUCUUAUUAUUAUUUACAUCAUUGGCGAGUUGCUCCUAAUAAUCGUGUAAACCGCUACGUUUCGCCGAGCACAAUCUAACGAUGCUUGAUCCAAGGGGAGAGAAGAUAGGAAUAUAUAUAUAUAUAUUAUAUAUUAUUAUCAUUAUGUUCGACACGAUGUACGCGAAUAAAAUCGAUUAGGUCUGGAAAAUAA